CAGUGGUUAGUUUAAUUAAAAUAUUAAUUUUGGAGAUUAAUGAUGGGAGUGUUUCUUACCACUGA
rnacentral:tRNA from 1 species